GUUUUAGACAGUGGCUUUUCACUGCUUCCUGACUGUGGUUUCAUAUUCUGAGGUGGCUCGUCCUCAUGCUGCACAGAAAAUCACAUGGUGACAUUAUCCCAAUGCAACUGCAGAAAUGGAAGUCUGGAAGAAAAUCAUCUCUACAAGUUUCAUGACAGUAAGCAGCUGGAGGGGAUUAAGGCAGCUUUAGAUGGGCUUCAACAGCUAAGGCAAAGGCUGCAGCAUGAGCACAUACUGUUCAAAAAUGAAAAACCCUCUGACAAUGAUAGCAUGGAAAAAACUUCCAAACUGGACCUCAGAAGCAGCUAGAUGAUGAGAAAAUACCACACAGGAGAUUAACGAACGUACUUUCAGUUCAAACAAAACACUGAAAUUAAGAAUGUCUUCUUGCUUCUCCCACUGUAUCAUUUUUAUAUCAUAAAACUACUUCUGUUUUACUACACAAGA